UAUUUAUUUAUUUAUUUAUUUAUUUAUUUCCCUUGAUUUACACCUUUCUUAUCUGUCAGCCCCACUGAGUCUUCCUCAGGUUUCCUGCCAUUGUUGAGGCCAUGAUGAACUUCUGGUACUUGAUACAGAAAGAUAUCAGAAGUCAGAAGAUGGAUGUAGACAGACAAGAAACACAGUUGUAAUGAAAAUAAUGAAGAUAAAAGUAUUAUGGAUGUUUUUGAUGAAUGCUAUGUAAACACUGCUGAAGCAAGAAAAAAGAUGGUUUUGGUAAACAAGAAAGUAGCUGGUAAAAUCUUAGAACCAAAUGAAACAAGAUUUAGAGACUUAUGAAGAAAUGACGGAGCCUUAUUGCAUAUAAUUCUUGUUACCUGGGGAAGAUUUUUGCUGCAGAACAAUGUUGGCAA